UACGUAGGGGGCUAGCGUUGUCCGGAUUUAUUGGGCGUAAAGAGCUCGUAGGUGGUUCGGUAAGUCGGAUGUGAAAUCUCCAGGCUCAACCUGGAGGGGUCAUUCGAUACUGCCGUGACUUGAGUCCGGAAGAGGCGAGUGGAAUUCCUGGUGUAGCGGUGAAAUGCGCAGAUAUCAGGAGGAACACCGAUGGCGAAGGCAGCUCGCUGGGACGGUACUGACGCUGAGGCGCGAAAGCGUGGGGAGCAAACAGG
rnacentral:rRNA from 1 species